CCUACGGGUGGCAGCAGUAGGGAAUAUUGCUCAAUGGGGGAAACCCUGAAGCAGCAACGCCGCGUGGAGGAUGAAGGUUUUAGGAUUGUAAACCCCUUUUGUUAGAGAAGAUUAUGUCGGUAUCCAACGAAUAAGCACUGGCUAACUCAGUGCCAGCAGCCGCGGUAAUACGGAGGGUGCAAGCGUUACUCGGAUUUACUGGGCGUAAAGCGUGUGUAGGCGGGGUAAUAAGUCAGAUGUGAAAGCCUGUAGCUUAACUACAGAACUGCAUUUGAAACUGGUACUCUGGAGUGUGGGAGAGGUAGGUGGAAUUCUUGGUGUAGAGGUGAAAUGCGUAGAGAUCAAGAGGAAUACUCAUUGCGAAGGCGACCUGCUGGAACAUUACUGACGCUGAGGCACGAAAGCGUGGGGAGCAAACAGGAUUAGAUACCCGGGUAGUC
rnacentral:rRNA from 1 species